rnacentral:rRNA from 1 species
GUCCUCUUGUUUAUUUUGGAGGUCUGACCUGCCCAGUGAAAUUUUUAACGGCCGCGGUAUUUUGACCGUGCAAAGGUAGCAUAAUCAUUAGUCUUUUAAUAGAGGGCUGGAAUGAAGGGUUUAACGAAUCAUUAGCUGUCUCAUUUUUAUAACUUAAAACUUAAUUUUUAAGUUAAAAAGCUUAAAUGGUAUUGAAGGACGAGAAGACCCUAUAGAGCUUUAUAUUAUAUUUUUUAAUGAAUUGUUGAUUUAUAUUUAUUUAUUAUAAUAAUUUAAUAUUUUGUUGGGGUGACAGAAAUAAAUAAUUAACUUUUUUAUUUUUUAAACAUAAAUUUAUGAACUUUUGAUCCAUUAUUAUUGAUUGUUAGAUUAAGUUACCUUAGGGAUAACAGCGUAAUCUUUUUUUGGAGUUCAAAUUUACAAAAAGGCUUGCGACCUCGAUGUUGGAUUAAGAUUAUAGUUUGGUGUAGUAGCUAAAUUAAUAGGUCUGUUCGACCUUUAAAUUCUU